rnacentral:rRNA from 1 species
UACAGAGGUCUCGAGCGUUAAUCGGAUUCAUUGGGCUUAAAGCGUACGUAGGCGGAUGUGCAGGCAUCGUGUGAAAUCCCCUGGCUCAACCAGGGAACUGCUCGGUGAACCGCACGUCUUGAGGCAAGUAGAGGCUGUCGGAACGAUAGGUGGAGCGGUGAAAUGCGUAGAUAUCUGGAGGAACACCGGUGGCGAAGGCGGCAUCCUGGACCGGCAUUGACGCUGAGGCGCGAAAGCCAGGGGAGCAAACGGG